ensembl:lncRNA
GGGACACUAGUCAGGUUCAUUCCCGUUGAACCACAACGAGAACUCCUGGAGGAUUUUUUGGUUUGUUGUUUUGUUUUGCUUUUGAGACUUCUUUUUAGGAACUGGAAGGGACCCUCAGUCAGUGAUUCCCAAACUUCAUGACUUUCUUUUGAGCUCGUGCUUCAAGAGAUGUUUGUUCAUCAGAUACCCAUUACCAAGAAUUCAUUAUUCUCCGGUCUCUACCCAUCCAUCCAGCACACACAGGUCUGGAGAUUUUCCCUGGGGUCAACUGCUGGCUGUCUGCCCAAUUCUGUGCCCUCUUUUUCCAGGGAUGCUUCCAACUGGACAUGCUGCCCGGCUGUGGCCAUGCCACCAUGUCCUCACCAGCGGAAUGGGGACGGAAGUGAUCCACGCAACUUCAGCUGUUUAAGGGCUCAUUUGCCUGGGGUUUCUCUUUUUCCUUCCUUCAAACAGGGCCUGGAAGAGUGGCCCAAGGAGUGGUGGAACAUCCUAUCCUGCCAGCCACGGUCUCUUUGUCACAGCAUUUGGCCUGAAGGCACCCUCCCCCACCAGGCAAAAGACUGCAGAAGAUAAGAAGAAUGCACUAAGAAUCUGGUCCACUCCUGUCUGAUGGCAAACUGGCCACUGUCUCUCUGCAGGGCAGUGAGGCGAUUUGCAGAAAGUCUGAAACUUUGCUCUACUUUUAACCCAGUGAUUCCGCUCUAGGCUAUGUCCUAAGGGACUCAUUCUCAAAACAAAUUAAAAAAAUUUAUACUCACAGCAUUUUGUCACAGUGUUUUUCUUUUUCUUUUUUUUUUUUUUUUUUUCCUUAAGGCUACACCUGCAGCAUAUGGAAGUUCCCAGGCAAGGGGUCGAAUCAGAGCUACAGCUAUCAGCUUAAGCCACAGCCACAGCUACACCAGAUCCUGGC